GCACAACUAUUUUGAAAACGCAUAAAUUCGUGUGUGCGUGCGUGCGUGUGUGUGUGUGGUUUUUUCCUAAGCCCAUGACAAAGCACUAUGAGGUCAGAAUGGAAUGGAUACUUAGAGCUGCUUGAGCCAGCUAAAGGAAUAAUAAGGAAAUUUCCUCACUUCAUGAUUAUCUGAGGGUGUAAGUGCUUUGCUAUUGGAAAUAUAUCAUAUACACUUGCAUGUUCUGUGUCAGAGAAGACACAAAAGCAAAGCCACAUCUAGGAAGCACUUUGGAUUCUGGAAAGAAAUUACGAUCAAGUGCAAUGAAGGUCAAGCAGUAUAAGGAAUA